GCUCCGGUGGCCUAGUGGUUAGAGCGUCCGCCUCAGAUGCGUGAGGUCGUUGUCUGAAUACCCGGUCGAGGCA